rnacentral:rRNA from 1 species
UCAAGAAACUUCCACAAUGGGCGAAAGCCUGAUGGAGCGACGUCGCGUGAUGGACGAAGUGCUUCGGCACGUAAACAUCUUUUAUGUGGGAUGAAAUUAUUGACAGUACCACAUGAAUAAGGGGCUCCUAACUCUGUGCCAGCAGGAGCGGUAAUACAGAGGCCCCAAGCGUUAUCCGGAAUCACUGGGCGUAAAGGGUGUCGAGGCGGUUGUAUUAGUCGUUCGUAAAAUCUACGAGCUUAACUUGUAGGCGGCGAACGAAACGGUACGACCUGAGGUUUGGAGAGGUGCGUGGAACUCACGGUGUAGGGGUGAAAUCCGUUGAUAUCGUGGGGAACACCAAAGGCGAAGGCAGCGCACUGGCCAAAAUCUGACGCUCACACACGAAAGCUAGGGUAGCGAAGAGGAUUAGAUACCCACGUAGUCCCUGAGCGGGCUGGCAAGGCGCAU